GAUUUUCAUGUGUCCAACGAAGCUUUCUCUCGAAACCUUUUAAUGUUAGUGAACGGUUGAAUGUCAGGGUGGGGUAAGCCCAUCGGACAUUUAUUUGCAUGUUUCAUUUAAUCAAUAAUAAACCUUUACUUAUGUAAUUCCUGUACACCUGUCAAUCUUGAUGUGCCAACAAUGACAUUUUGAUCGAUUGCACAUGUCUAGUGGCAAAAUUCGUCAUUCGCUCCAGCUGAUUGCUGUCAUGUGACACACGCAACCACAAGAAAACGGAAGCGAGAACGAGCCAUGUGGGAUCCUUGCUCCUGAUAUCCUGAAGUAUGGCUUGCAUUUCAUUAUAUGACUCCAACAGUACACUCACAGAAAGGAGAGUGGUGUCAAACUACAAGACCGCCAGCAUGUAAACAAGGCCUUUGUUUGUCCUUGUUUGGCUACUCAUUUGUCUACUUCCUGAAGAGGCUGAAGCAUGCUGGCAUUGACACCUCAGUCCUUGCUUCCAUUAACAGUUGUGUUAUGGAGCAUAUCGUCAUAUCAUGGUCUACUGCAACGGCAAUUGGCAGGCAGUGUGCUGUGAGGACUGCUGCCCUGAUUCAUACAGAAGAAGUUCCAAGCCCGCAAUGGGCUCCAUCAACUGUCCAGGGUGAAGUCGGUCUGUACUGAUUGCACUACCUUCUACUUGAUGAUGUCUGGUAGCCGUGGCUACUGCCCUCAACCUGGUACACUUGACACUUGACAUUUACUGCCAAAAGGUACCAUCAGAGCACCUCUCUGCAGGACAUCUAUACCAGAAGAGUACAGAGGCCCAAAAUAUUUCAAAAGACAUUUCACACCCUGACCAUGGACUGUUUAAACCACUGAGGUCAAGCAGACGUCU